GUUGUAUGGUUAAGUGACUAAGCGUACACGGUGGAUGCCUUGGCAGUCAGAGGCGAUGAAAGGCGUAAUAACUUGCGAUAAGCCCAGAUUAGGUAGUAAUAACCUUUUGAGUCUGGGAUUCCUGAAUGGGGAAACCCACGUGCAUAAGCACGUAUCCUGUUGUGAAUACAUAGCAACAGGAGGCAAACCGGGGGAACUGAAACAU
rnacentral:rRNA from 1 species